rnacentral:rRNA from 1 species
AUUGAACGCUGGCGGCAGGCCUAACACAUGCAAGUCGAACAAGUGGCGGACGGGUGAGUAAUGUCUGGGAAACUGCCGGAUGGAGGGGGAUAACUACUGGAAACGGUAGCUAAUACCGCAUACCAUCAGAUGUGCCCAUAUGGGAUUAGCUUGUUGGUGGGGUAACGGUUCACCAAGGCGACGAUCCCUAGCUGGUCUGAGAGGAUGACCAGCCACACUGGGACUGAGACACGGUCCAGAUUCCUACGGGAGUCAGGAGUGGGGAAGAUUGCACAAUGGGCGCAAGCCUGCUGCAGCCAUGCUGCGUGUAUGAAGAAGGCCUUCGGGUUGUAAAGUACUUUCAGCGGGGAGGCGUUACCCGCAGAAGAAGCACCGGCUAACUCCGUGCCAGCAGCCGCGGUAAUAC